rnacentral:rRNA from 1 species
UACGGGGGGGGCGAGCGUUAUUCGGAAUUAUUGGGCGUAAAGGGCGCGUAGGCGGCCGCGUAAGUCAAAGGUGAAAUCCCUCAGCUCAACUGAGGAACUGCCUUUGAUACUGCAUGGCUUGAGGCCGGGAGGGGGUAGCGGAAUUCCCAGUGUAGCGGUGAAAUGCGUAGAUAUUGGGAGGAACACCAGUGGCGAAGGCGGCUACCUGGACCGGUGCUGACGCUGAUGCGCGAAAGCGUGGGGAGCAAACAGGAUUAGAUACCCUGGUAGUCCACGCUGUAAACGAUGGGUACUCGGUGUCGUGGGUAUCGACCCCUACGGUGCCUUAGCUAACGCGUUAAGUACCCCGCCUGGGGAGUACGGUCGCAAGGCUGAA